rnacentral:rRNA from 1 species
GGACUGAGACACGGCCCAGACUCCUACGGGAGGCAGCAGUAGGGAUCUUCCGCAAUGGACGAAAGUCUGACGGAGCAACGCCGCGUGAGUGAAGAAGGUUUUCGGAUCGUAAAACUCUGUUGUCAGGGAAGAACAAGUAUCGGAGUAACUGCCGGUACCUUGACGGUACCUGACCAGAAAGCCACGGCUAACUACGUGCCAGCAGCCGCGGUAAUACGUAGGUGGCAAGCGUUGUCCGGAAUUAUUGGGCGUAAAGCGCGCGCAGGCGGCCUUUUAAGUCUGAUGUGAAAGCCCCCGGCUCAACCGGGGAGGGUCAUUGGAAACUGGAAGGCUUGAGUGCAGAAGAGAAGAGCGGAAUUCCACGUGUAGCGGUGAAAUGCGUAGAGAUGUGGAGGAACACCAGUGGCGAAGGCGGCUCUUUGGUCUGUAACUGACGCUGAGGCGCGAAAGCGUGGGGAGCGAACAGGAUUAGAUACCCUGGUAGUCCACGCCGUAAACGAUGAGUGCUAAGUGUUGGGGGGUUUCCGCCCCUCAGUGCUGCAGCUAACGCAUUAAGCACUCCGCCUGGGGAGUACGGCCGCAAGGCUGAAACUCAAAGGAAUUGACGGGGGCCCGCACAAGCGGUGGAGCAUGUGGUUUAAUUCGAAGCAACGCGAAGAACCUUACCAGGUCUUGACAUCCCGCUGACCGUCCUGGAGACAGGAUUUUCCCUUCGGGGACAGCGGUGACAGGUGGUGCAUGGUUGUCGUCAGCUCGUGUCGUGAGAUGUUGGGUUAAGUCCCGCAACGAGCGCAACCCUUGAUCUUAGUUGCCAGCAUUUAGUUGGGCACUCUAAGGUGACUGCCGGUGACAAACCGGAGGAAGGUGGGGAUGACGUCAAAUCAUCAUGCCCCUUAUGACCUGGGCUACACACGUGCUACAAUGGAUGGUACAAAGGGCUGCAAGACCGCGAGGUUUAGCCAAUCCCAUAAAACCAUU